ACACAGGUGGUCAGGUAGAGAAUACCAAGGCGCUUGAGAGAACUCGGGUGAAGGAACUAGGCAAAAUGGUGCCGUAACUUCGGGAGAAGGCACGCUGAUAUGUAGGUGAAGCGACUUGCUCGUGGAGCUGAAAUCAGUCGAAGAUACCAGCUGGCUGCAACUGUUUAUUAAAAACACAGCACUGUGCAAACACGAAAGUGGACGUAUACGGUGUGACGCCUGCCCGGUGCCGGAAGGUUAAUUGAUGGGGUUAGCGGCAACGCGAAGCUCUUGAUCGAAGCCCCGGUAAACGGCGGCCGUAACUAUAACGGUCCUAAGGUAGCGAAAUUCCUUGUCGGGUAAGUUCCGACCUGCACGAAUGGCGUAAUGAUGGCCAGGCUGUCUCCACCCGAGACUCAGUGAAAUUGAACUCGCUGUGAAGAUGCAGUGUACCCGCGGCAAGACGGAAAGACCCCGUGAACCUUUACUAUAGCUUGACACUGAACAUUGAGCCUUGAUGUGUAGGAUAGGUGGGAGGCUUUGAAGUGUGGACGCCAGUCUGCAUGGAGCCGACCUUGAAAUACCACCCUUUAAUGUUUGAUGUUCUAACGUUGGCCCGUAAUCCGGGUUGCGGACAGUGUCUGGUGGGUAGUUUGACUGGGGCGGUCUCCUCCUAAAGAGUAACGGAGGAGCACGAAGGUUGGCUAAUCCUGGUCGGACAUCAGGAGGUUAGUGCAAUGGCAUAAGCCAGCUUGACUGCGAGCGUGACGGCGCGAGCAGGUGCGAAAGCAGGUCAUAGUGAUCCGGUGGUUCUGAAUGGAAGGGCCAUCGCUCAACGGAUAAAAGGUACUCCGGGGAUAACAGGCUGAUACCGCCCAAGAGUUCAUAUCGACGGCGGUGUUUGGCACCUCGAUGUCGGCUCAUCACAUCCUGGGGCUGAAGUAGGUCCCAAGGGUAUGGCUGUUCGCCAUUUAAAGUGGUACGCGAGCUGGGUUUAGAACGUCGUGAGACAGUUCGGUCCCUAUCUGCCGUGGGCGCUGGAGAACUGAGGGGGGCUGCUCCUAGUACGAGAGGACCGGAGUGGACGCAUCACUGGUGUUCGGGUUGUCAUGCCAAUGGCACUGCCCGGUAGCUAAAUGCGGAAGAGAUAAGUGCUGAAAGCAUCUAAGCACGAAACUUGCCCCGAGAUGAGUUCUCCCUGACUCCUUGAGAGUCCUGAAGGAACGUUGAAGACGACGACGUUGAUAGGCCGGGUGUGUAAGCGCAGCGAUGCGUUGAGCUAACCGGUACUAAUGAACCGUGAGGCUUAACCUU
rnacentral:rRNA from 1 species